rnacentral:tRNA from 1 species
GGGACAUUAGCUCAGUUGGUAGAGCAGCUGACUCUUAAUCAGCGGGUCGUAGGUUCGAUCCCUACAUGUCCCACUA